rnacentral:rRNA from 1 species
UACGGAGGGUGCAAGCGUUAAUCGGAAUUACUGGGCGUAAAGCGUGCGCAGGCGGUUUGUUAAGUCCGUUGUGAAAGCCCCGAGCUCAACUUGGGAAUUGCAGUGGAUACUGGCAGGCUGGAGUACGGUAGAGGAAGGUGGAAUUCCCGGUGUAGCAGUGAAAUGCGUAGAGAUCGGGAGGAACACCAGUGGCGAAGGCGGCCUUCUGGGCCAGUACUGACGCUCAUGCACGAAAGCGUGGGGAGCAAACAGG